rnacentral:rRNA from 1 species
CUACGGGUCGCUCCAGUGAGGAAUAUUGCACAAUGGGGGGAACCCUGAUGCAGCAACGCCGCGUGGAGGAUGACGCAUUUCGGUGUGUAAGCUCCUUUUAUAUGUCAAGAAAAUGACGGUAGCAUAUGAAUAAGCACCGGCUAACUCCGUGCCAGCAGCCGCGAGUAAUACGGAGGGUGCAAGCGUUACUCGGAAUCACUGGGCGUAAAGGACGCGUAGGCGGGUUGGAAAGUCAGGUGUGAAAUCCUACAGCUUAACUGUAGAACUGCACUUGAAACUUCUAAUCUAGAGUAUGGGAGGGGGAGAUGGAAUUAGUGGUGUAGGGGUAAAAUCCGUAGAUAUCACUAGGAAUACCUAAAGCGAAGGCGAUCUCCUGGAACAUUACUGACGCUAAGGCGUGAAAGCGUGGGGAGCAAACAGGAUUAGAUACCCCGGUAGUC